GUCAUUCUGAAACCCAAUCUGGGGACAGUGCAGACUAAAUAAAAUUUCAUUUUGAUUUGGCCUCCCGCUGAGAAUGGGACUGCUUUGUUUCAGCCGACAGAACUAGCAAGCCAGAAAGGAGACUGAUCAGUUCCUGGUUGGGAGGAAACUCAGAGCACGGCAAAUAUAGACAAUAUGGAAUAUGCAAGAAACUACCAAUGAGAUAAGGCAAUUCUGGGCCACUGAACUUUGGACUCAUUUGGCUAGUCUGGCAUGGUGAGAAAGAAGACUUCUCUCAGUAAAGCAAGUGGUUCCUGCAAAUGGUUCGGUGACUCAGAAACUGACAACAGCGACUUGCAAAGGAACAAAGGAGGAGGAUGACAAUCCAGAGUGUGAGCAGGAGGGAUUCAAUUGUGGGUGAGAACAUAGUGGAACAACAGAGCAUAUGAUUCAGGAUUCACUUGGAAGGUCUGAAUGAGACCCUCUCUUUUCCAUCUGAGCCACAGACCAGAGCGAAGCCUGCAGUCCACAGGGACUUCACCAGAACAUGUACAUGGAGGAUGCAGAAAACACAUCUUGGACUUUUCCUAGCCAAACAUAUUCCCACAGGAACCCUAAAGCAAACUUCAAGUACCAGUCAGGAAAAAAAUGUGUCAGAUAUUUAGAUAUGGUGCCGGGAUGUAAAAUAUAUCUGAGAAUGAUUCUCCUGCUUCGUGGGUGAGAUGAUUACAACAGUCCUUCAUGGAUGGGAUGGUUACAAUGCCAGUGCAUUAAGAUUCAUUUGUUGGUGCUUUUGGAUUUCAUCAAAGAUUGGUCAGCAAUAUGUUCAGCACAUUCAUGACUUGCUUCAUUACAGAACUCAGAAGAGAUAAAUAGCAAUUCUACUAUAUAUAUUUUCCCCAGUUUUUUUCAACACUUCUAGAUAUUUCCCCCCCACACACACUUUUCAACAACUUUUCAACAACAUAAAGCUGCUAGGAGAGCUCAUGUGGCAAUUUGGGCUGAAUUGCCAUCAAUAUGUGGAUAACACUUCUGUCUUGUGCUUCCAACCCAGGGAGGCUGUGGCAACUGUGAACAGGUGCAAGUUGGAUGCAAUUUUUGAAUGGAUGAUGACUAACAAAUAACUUAAUCCUGUCAAAAUGGAGGUACUACUGGAAGGGAAAA